AGGAAGCAGGUGCUUGUUUGUGUGGACAGCAGUGCUGUAGAGCUUGUUACAUCAUUAUCAGCACUCUGUAUGGCAACCAGAGUAAGUCAUUUGUCUCUGCAAAUGUUUCUGGUUUCUAGGAUCAGCAGGAUAACACCAUGAACUCCUCCAGGAGCCCACAUCCAUGUCAAGGCACGGGAAUGAAGGCAUUGCUCUCUGAGAAGCAAGCAGCAACAUCAGUAGGUUGAUAGGUUCAAACCACUGGCAUCUUCCUCUUGUUGGAAAAGCCUAURUUCUGGCAUUACGGCCAUCCUCAGACAGAGGAUCUUCACCCCUGCUUUCACCAGGAUCUUAAGGAGUCAGAACCUGGCAUAUCUGGAGAACACAAGGAUGGGGAGUGGCAGCUGCUGGAAGUUAUAAACAGGAUCUGCACACACUGAGAGCCAGCGAUGAAAAGUUAAAUGAAUUUUGCUGAAGCUGUUGGGAAUUCCUCACCUCUCAGCGACUUGAGCUAUUGAGCAUCUGCAACUGGAAGGUCAUAAGGGAAACUACUGGGGACUGUAGCUACUGCCACCAUUCCUGACACUACUUCAAGAGCAUUCAAGGUGUCCUGCAAAGCGGGUACGACUGGCUGCUGUUUAUAACAUUUGUUCCUUCCU